UACGUAGGGUGCAAGCGUUGUCCGGAAUUAUUGGGCGUAAAGAGCUCGUAGGCGGUUUGUCGCGUCUGCUGUGAAAACUCAGGGCUUAACCCUGAGCUUGCAGUGGGUACGGGCAGACUAGAGUGCGGUAGGGAGACUGGAAGUUCCUGGUGUAGCGGUGAAAUGCGCAGAGUAUCGAGGAGGAACACCGGUGGCGAAGGCGGAUCUC
rnacentral:rRNA from 1 species